rnacentral:rRNA from 1 species
UACGUAGGGAGCAAGCGUUGUCCGGAAUUACUGGGCGUAAAGCGUGCGCAGGCGGCUUUGCAAGACAGAUGUGAAAUCCCCGGGCUUAACCUGGGAACUGCAUUUGUGACUGCAUGGCUGGAGUGCGGCAGAGGGGGAUGGAAUUCCGCGUGUAGCAGUGAAAUGCGUAGAUAUGCGGAGGAACACCGAUGGCGAAGGCAAUCCCCUGGGCCUGCACUGACGCUCAUGCACGAAAGCGUGGGGAGCAAACAGG